rnacentral:rRNA from 1 species
UACGUAGGGAGCAAGCGUUAUCCGGAAUUAUUGGGUGUAAAGGGUGCGUAGACGGGAAUACAAGUUGGUUGUGAAAUCCCCAGGCUUAACUUGGGAACUGCAACCAAAACUAUGUUUCUUGAGUGCAGGAGAGGAAAGUGGAAUUCCUAGUGUAGCGGUGAAAUGCGUAGAUAUUAGGAGGAACACCAGUGGCGAAGGCGGCUUUCUGGACUGUAACUGACGUUGAGGCACGAAAGUGUGGGGAG